AUUGAACGCUGGCGGCAGGCCUAACACAUGCAAGUCGAGCGGAUGAAGGGAGCUUGCUCCUGGAUUCAGCGGCGGACGGGUGAGUAAUGCCUAGGAAUCUGCCUGGUAGUGGGGGAUAACGUCCGGAAACGGGCGCUAAUACCGCAUACGUCCUGGGGAGAAAGUGGGGGAUCUUCGGACCUCACGCUAUCAGAUGAGCCUAGGUCGGAUUAGCUAGUUGGUGGGGUAAAGGCCUACCAAGGCGACGAUCCGUAACUGGUCUGAGAGGAUGAUCAGUCACACUGGAACUGAGACACGGUCCAGACUCCUACGGGAGGCAGCAGUGGGGAAUAUUGGACAAUGGGCGAAAGCCUGAUCCAGCCAUGCCGCGUGUGUGAAGAAGGUCUUCGGAUUGUAAAGCACUUUAAGUUGGGAGGAAGGGCAGUAAGUUAAUACCUUGCUGUUUUGACGUUACCAACAGAAUAAGCACCGGCUAACUUCGU
rnacentral:rRNA from 1 species